rnacentral:lncRNA from 1 species
CGUUUUGAUACGGCAAAGAAGUAUAACUUCUUACGUGCGUACCUUUACUAAUGCUUCAGAAGAUUUGCAGAAGAGCCAGGAUGAACAAUUAUUAUAUUGGAUUCUAUCGUGUGAUGUAAUAUUAUGCUCUAAUUUUUUUUCUUUUCUCCUCUCUAAUAAUAAUUAUUUUGAUUCACACGCUUUAGAAAAUUUCUCCUUCCAUUUCACGAGUAGAGAGAGAGAGAGAGAAGGCUGCUAUAAAAUUUGAAUGGGAUAGCAAUACAUAAUUCUUUUUUACUUGCGAUAUCAUCCCCCACGACACAAGCGCACUGCUUUUAUUGAUAAUUCAA